rnacentral:lncRNA from 12 species
CUCUGAGCCGGUUCACAUCACUAACCAGCUUCUGAUACGCUGAAAGCCAGAGCAAUAAAGUAUUGUAAAAGCUUGCUAGAGAGGCACAGGAAGUUGCCUGUAAAGGGGGCGUGGCGUCGGAAAAUAAGUUUCCGCCAAACGAAGGAAAAUAGCGCUUCCGGUUACGCCAUCGUUGUGUCGGGGCUUUCUUCACUGAGGAUUUUCCACCUCGAAAGACCAAAAUGCAUUCCCAGCUCAAUUUGGAAAGAUCUAAGGACAAAGGGAUCGAGGAAGAAAUUCUCUUAGGCUCUGCUCUUGCCAGAGGGACUGGAGCCAUGGCUCAGAAAAUGGACUGUGGUGCGGGCCUCCUCGGCUUCCAGGCUGAGGCCUCCGUAGAAGACAGCACCUUGCUUAUGCAGACCCUGAUGGAGGCCAUCCAGAUCUCAGAGGCUCCACCUACCAACCAGGCCACAGCAGCUGGGCUGAAUGCUAGUGCCCAGAGUUCACAGCCCCCAACAUCCACUGCACAGACAUCAGCAGAUGGUUCCCCUGCUCAGAAUCUGGAGUCCAGGACUAUAAUUCGGGGCAAGAGGACCCGCAAGAUUAAUAACUUGAAUGUGGACGAGAACAGCAAUGGGGAUCAGAGGCGGGCCCCACUGGCUACAGGGACGUGGAGGUCUGCACCUGUUCCAGUUACCACUCAGAACCCACCUGGCGCACCCCCCAAUGUGCUCUGGCAGACCCCAUUGGCCUGGCAGAACCCAUCAGGCUGGCAAAACCAGCCAGCCAGGCAGACCCCACCAGCACGUCAGAGUCCCCCAGCUAGGCAGACCCCACCAGCCUGGCAAAACCCGGUUGCUUGGCAGAACCCAGUGAUCUGGCCGAACCCAGUGAUCUGGCAAAAUCCAGUGAUCUGGCCAAACCCCAUUGUCUGGCCCGGUCCAGUUGUCUGGCCAAACCCACUGGCCUGGCAGAAUCCACCUGGAUGGCAGACCCCACCUGGAUGGCAGAACCCACCAGGCUGGCAGGGUCCUCCAGAUUGGCAGGGCCCUCCUGACUGGCCACUACCACCUGACUGGCCUCUACCACCUGAUUGGCCACUUCCCACUGACUGGCCACUCCCACCUGACUGGAUCCCCACUGAUUGGCCAGUUCCACCUGACUGGCAGAACCUGCGGCCCUCACCAAACCUGCGCCCCUCUCCCAAUUCACGUGCCUCACAGAACCUGGGUGCCUCACAGCCCCGAGAUGUGGCCCUUCUUCAGGAAAGAGCAAAUAAGUUGGUCAAGUACCUGAUGCUUAAAGAUUAUACCAAGGUGCCCAUUAAGCGCUCAGAAAUGCUGAGGGAUAUCAUCCGUGAAUACACUGAUGUUUAUCCAGAAAUCAUUGAACGUGCAUGCUUUGUCCUGGAGAAGAAAUUUGGGAUUCAACUGAAGGAGAUCGACAAAGAAGAACACCUGUAUAUUCUCAUCAGCACCCCCGAGUCCCUGGCUGGCAUAUUGGGAACGACCAAAGACACACCCAAGCUGGGUCUCCUCUUAGUGAUAUUGGGCGUUAUCUUCAUGAAUGGCAACCGUGCCAGUGAAGCUGUCCUCUGGGAGGCACUACGCAAGAUGGGACUGCGUCCUGGUGUGAGACAUCCUCUUCUUGGAGAUCUGAGGAAACUUCUCACUUAUGAGUUUGUAAAACAAAAGUACCUGGAUUACAGACGAGUGCCCAACAGCAACCCUCCUGAGUAUGAGUUCCUCUGGGGCCUCCGUUCCUACCAUGAAACUAGCAAGAUGAAAGUGCUGAGAUUCAUUGCAGAGGUUCAGAAAAGAGAUCCUCGUGACUGGACUGCACAGUUCAUGGAGGCUGCAGAUGAGGCCUUGGAUGCUCUGGAUGCUGCUGCAGCUGAGGCUGAGGCCCGGGCUGAGGCGAGAACCCGCAUGGGGAUUGGAGAUGAGGCCGUAUCUGGGCCCUGGAGCUGGGAUGACAUUGAAUUUGAGCUGCUGACCUGGGAUGAGGAAGGAGAUUUUGGCGAUCCCUGGUCUAGAAUCCCAUUUACCUUCUGGGCCAGAUACCACCAGAAUGCCCGCUCCCGAUUUCCUCAGACCUUCACUGGCCCCAUUAUUGGCCCUGGUGGUACAGCCAGCACCAACUUUGCUGCCAACUUUGGUGCCAUUGGUUUCUUCUGGGUUGAGUGAGAUGUUGGGUAGGUAUAUCACUUUGGUUUGGGCAGUUAGGGUUAUCGGGAGAUACAGGGUCCAUGGGAAUGUGUUUAUGUCACAACCUGGGAGUCCUAGAAAACCCAUGGUGGGGAGGUGAGGGAAGUAUAGGGAAGCAUAUACUUGGUAUAUUUCUUACUAUUUGAUAUAUAUCACUGAUUAUUUGGGUUUUUUUCUUUCUUAUGUUCACAGAUAUUGCUAAUCAGUUGCAAUAGUCUUUCCCCUGAGUGAGGCUGAAGCCUCAGAUUCCUUCUAAACACAGCUAUCUAGAGAGCCACAUCCUGUUGACUGAAAGUGGCAUGCAAGAUAAAUUUAUUUGCUGUUCCUUGUCUGUUGCUUUUUUUCCCCUUGUGUGCUGUCAAGUUUUGGUAUCAGAAAUAAACGUUGAAACUGCAAAGUGAA